AAAUAUUUUUAAGUGGAAGCCUUACAAGAACAAUUGUAGCAGCUAUUUUGACCCAAUAGCUCCUCCUAUUGUGUUUAAAUAUAGCAUCAGGAUUGGACUCUCUUUUUUCUUUUAUUUAUUUAUUUUUUAAUACCAGAGGGUGGAACUAAAGUUAAACUGUCUCUGUCCUUUUUGUGAUGCUCAGGAGAUUUUUCAAAAUAGGUGCCACUUCGUCAGUUUAUUGGCAUUGAUGAUGGCAUUGAAGAGCAGAUUACAAAGUUUACUGAAAAAAAAUAAAUAAAUCAAUUAAUGUAAAUGGAGCAGAAGGCAACAGUAAUAGAGGGCUUACUUAGUACUUCAGUUUUAGUUUGACAUUUGGCCAGUGAUUUAAUGCAUUAAGAGUUAAAGUGAGUCAUCAAGAGACAAGACUUUACUCCUCUCUCCAGGUAGCUUACUUCUGCAGUCAGUGCUCUGCUGUAGGUAGUCUCAUGUCUACCAAUACAUGCGAUAAGAUGAAGAUGCUCAAAGCGUAACUGUGGAGCAAACUGCUGUCUCAGGUGAGCACUAAUAAAACUUGGGGAAAGGAAGGGCUGUGCUUGCAAAGGGCAGCAUUUGAAAGCCACAACACCUGUGACAACUUGGUGGCUAGGAAUGUGGGGUGAUGGUAUGAACUGUAGCUUUCUAAAUUUAAAUUUCCAAAGUUUCACAGGUUGACCUACCCAGCACCAUUCUGAGAAAAAGAGAAGUCAAAGGAAGCUUUCAGAAACAUGAGUGAAUGUGCUUUCCCUGUCCAUGGAGAUGCCAGGCACCUCAGAACGGGCUACAUCAUGAGGAGUGAACCAGCGAAGCAGCUCCACUUCAACCUGCCCUGCCGCAUAGAGGCGCUUGUGAGAGAGUUAAUGCCUGAGCACCAAUACCCUUGGGCUGCUGCUGCUGCCUGUGUCCUUCCUGCACAUGCCCCGGGCUCCUGCUGCUGCUUGCCCCUGCUGGGGCUUUUCUACCGUGGCCUUCCUUCUCCUGAAGACUUCCCGUGACGUCUCAGGCCUGCUCCGAGUUGCUCCUUGCAUCUCCUCAGCACAUGUGCAGAGCUGAAGCUGACAGGACCACAAAGCCAUUGUUAAAGUCGGUAGGUCUCACUCAGCUGGGAACACAGGUCUAGUUUUAGGCUUUUACUGUUGUGUCAGGGUAACGUAUUCACUGGGCAAAAAUUAGGGUUUGCUUUCUAACGACAUGCUGCUUCUUAUGCUGUUUGCACGUUAGCCUGUGACUAUGUUUUGCAGUACCCAUUACCUCCUAAUUGCUGCCAACCUUAAAUUUAUUUGGCACUAACUUACUGCAUAGACUAGUAGUCAUAUGGAAACCAACAGUGUUACUCCCCCCCCGCAUCAUAGCUCUCCAUAUGAAUGAUAGAGGCAGAGUAAAACCCAAAGGGGUAAGUAAACUAACCUUGUACUACAGGAUUCUGUAAAAUGAUAUUGUGACGAGAAAAAGACACAUAAAUGUACAGCAAAAUAAAUAAGCUCCAGAUUUUCACUGCAUAGUACUUCUGACACACUUCUUUUAAAAAUCUUUGUUUUAUAGAUACUCAGCAAAUAAAAGCACAACACUAAUGAGUCAUAUUUUGCUGACUUAUUAUGUAAUCUUGAAGGCAGUUUGUUUUUAUUUCCACUGGAUAGGAUACUUUUUCACUUAGAUAUUAUGUAACGCUCCUUAUAAAAAUAGAGACCCAGGUCUUGCAAACACCUUGGAGUGUUCCUGUUACAGAAUGAGGCUUAUGACCAUUUCAGUUCUCACACCCUCCUUAUUAUGCUUAUAAUAUCUCAAAACAUUCCCCUUCUGGCUUGAAAAAUUUGCCAUUCUUGAUCUUGAUCUAAAAUACUUCUGUUACUAAGUAAAAAUAAGAACAUUUACAAGAUUAAUUAUAAGUAUACAAAAUAUAAAAUGUUUUUUAUCAGCCAGUAUGCAUUUAAUAGGGUUAUAAAAGACAACACUGGUUAUAAAAGACAACAAAGAAGAAAAAAUACUUGAGAAACAUAGUGUUAACGAAAUAGGUGGUAAGGCCAACAGCACAGAGUCAGCACAUCAAAAACCAUGGCUUCUGGAGCUAUAGUCUACAUUCUGCACGAGCAGGAUGCCCUUUCCUAAGUGCUAGUACUUGCAGAUUGGUGAUUGACACAGGGAAAGAGGUACAUACUCUUACAACAUUUAUAAAAUAUCUGCAGGUAUGGAAUUCUCUGGGUUUUGUUUGUUUUGUCCUAAUAGAGAGGCAUGACAAUUCUGGAAUAAAUAACUAAAGAAUUUUUUAAACAGUAUAUAUGAAACGUGCCCAGCUAUCUGCCAGAUGUCCAAUGUAGUGAAUCCUAAAAAUCAUUUAGAAUUUUCAGCCUCCUAGUUUCAAAUAGCAUAGUCUAAAUGGUAACAAAAAUAAAAGGGUAUACAUUAGAAACUCAUUUAAAAAAAAAAAAAAAAAAAGCAGGAAGACAGCCAAGACAACCAAGAAUGUGUGUGUUCCUUAGAGAAAAAUGGGAGAAAAGUAAGGCAAGAAUAUGAAAGAAAGGUGGAAAACGGAUUUGGGCACUAAAUUUAAAGCAAGUAAACCUACCACUGUUGCCUUAAAAUAAAGGAACACAUCCAAUGAGCUCCAUGCAUUAAAGCACUGCUUUGGCAUGUGAAGAUUUUUUUAUUGAAGAUGUUGAAUGAUAACUACCAACAAAAAUAUUUAAUUUCCUAUAAGUUGCAGACGUCUUAGCCUUUUUAACUGCCAAAAUGCUGAGAGAGACAGUCUCUAAACAGUCAUUUAAUACUUGUGUGUAUGCUUAUUUCCAUCCAACUAGCCAACGUUUCAUCUUUGUGAAUGUACUGCUGUCUGCUUAGACAACCCUUGUGUCGAAGGUUUUCCCCGCAUGGGUUAUACUGAGGCACCAGCACUUUUUUAGGUGCUUUGCACACCACAGCAGGGACACUGAGUACCCAGGGGGACCAGUAUGUCUGGCAUAGCUGGUGGAAAACUUCGCUGUGCCCCUCGCAAGGAAUUGCUCAUUACCCAAGACAGUAAAGGUUUUUCUUUUCCUUUUUAGUUCAGACACACAGCCAGCUUGUGCCCGCUGAAGAAGGUGCGGAUCCUGGUCCAGUACAAGAUGAAAACUUGAAAACCAGCAUGGGACUCCCCAAUACUGCACUGAUGUAUUUACUACCCAGAAGGUAUGUGGCACUAAAUAAUGAGGAUAUGUAAUUGCUAUUUUGAAAUCUAUUCCCGGGAAGCUCAUCUGCCUGAAGCUUACUGCUCACAAGAUUUGCCUGGCUCUCAAAUCACCUGCACCAUCAGCUCAGAGGGUACAGGCAAGGCCGCUCCGUCUGUAACAGUGGGGACUUUUUAUGCCACAGCAUAGGCAGUGCUUGGCCCAGCACCAAUCUUGCUAAGGAGAAUCUUUCAUAUUUGGUGAUAUUUACAGUAGUUUAGAUCUGGCAUAGAGAGCCCAGGGUGUUGACGUGUAUUUUUGUUUGUUUGUU
rnacentral:lncRNA from 1 species